CUGGCUGUGUGCCUAUUACAUGCAUGUCGAGCGAGGUUCUUUUGAACCUAGCGGCGAAUGGGUGAGUAACACGUGCUUAAUCUACCCUUUAGAUUGGAAUACCCAAUGGAAACAUUGGCUAAUGCCGGAUACGCAUGGAACCGCAUGGUUCCGUUGUGAAAGGAGCCUCAAAGCUCCGCUAGAGGAUGAGGGUGCGGAACAUUAGUUAGUUGGUAGGGUAAUGGCCUACCAAGACUAUGAUGUUUAGCCGGGUCGAGAGACUGAACGGCCACAUUGGGACUGAGAUACGGCCCAAACUCCUACGGGAGGCAGCAGUAGGGAAUAUUCCACAAUGAGCGAAAGCUUGAUGGAGCGACACAGCGUGCACGAUGAAGGUCUUCGGAUUGUAAAGUGCUGUUAUAGGGAAAGAACACUUGGUUGAGGAAAUGCUUCCAAGCUGACGGUACCCUGUCAGAAAGCGAU
rnacentral:rRNA from 2 species